rnacentral:rRNA from 1 species
AUACGGAAGGUGCGAGCGUUAUCCGGAUUCAUUGGGUUUAAAGGGAGCGUAGGCGGAGCGCCAAGUCAGCUGUGAAAUCCCGCGGCUCAACCGUGGAACUGCAGUUGAAACUGGCGCCCUUGAGUGCACAUGAGGAUGGCGGAAUUCAUGGUGUAGCGGUGAAAUGCUUAGAUAUCAUGAAGAACUCCGAUUGCGAAGGCAGUCCGCUGGGGCACGUCUGACGCUGAUGCUCGAAGGUGCGGGAAUCAAACAGGAUUAGAUACCCUGGUAGUCCGCACGGUAAACGAUGAUUACCCGCUGUCGGCGGUAGACAGUCGGCGGCCAAGCGAAAGCGAUAAGUAAUCCACCUGGGGAGUACGCCGGCAACGGUGAAACUCAAAUGAAUUGGCGGGG